UACAGAGGGUGCAAGCGUUAAUCGGAAUUACUGGGCGUAAAGCGUGCGUAGACGGUUAUGUAAGUCAGGUGUGAAAGCCCCGGGCUCAACCUGGGAAUGCCAUUGGAAACUAGCGGGCUUGAGUGUGGCAGAGGGGGGUGGAAUUCCACGUGUAGCAGUGAAAUGCGUAGAGAUGUGGAGGAACACCGAUGGCGAAGGCAGCCCCCUGGGCUAACACUGACGCUCAUGCACGAAAGCGUGGGGAGCAAACAGG
rnacentral:rRNA from 1 species